UACAACAUGGGAGCCGACACCAUCUGUAGAUUAAAAGCAUCAUGUCUUUUGCAAGACAGUAUCAUCCACAGCUAUGCUUUUAGAGUUCGCUUUAUAGCUUCUGCUACUGCUGGGAGAUGCUUUUGGAUACACACAGGAUAUAUAACAUCCAUGUUCCCUUCUACACCCAGGCAUUUAGAUCCUGCACUACAGAUCCCACGAAGGAACAGUGUCUGGGGUGCAGAUGGUGCUGCUCAUACACAGACAGAAUUGGGCCAACAAAACACUUAUACCAAACUGCGUAUUGAGCAAAGGACUUCCAGGGAUAGAUACAAAAUUCACUAACACACAGUGCCUCUGUUUUUAUUUGUGUGUUUAAACUUUCCCCGUGGCCUUCAUGCACCUGGAGGAGGUGUUCCUGUCCUCAGCUUCUGCAGUGUGUCCUCACUGAUCAGGCUAACCAACACACAGUGUGAGUUGGCCACAGUGUUUGGUUAAAGAGUGAACGAGAACAUCCAGCCUGAAACAAUCGCGAGAACAUCCAGCCUGAAACAAUCGCGAGAACAUCCAGCCUGAAACAAUUGCAACAAAAUUUUCUUGAAAAGCUGAGACAGUGAUGCCUUUUCUUUCAGAGGAUGAGGGCAGCGCGGCAU